rnacentral:tRNA from 1 species
AAGGGUGAAGUAUAACUUUUACAUUUCAGUUACAUUGAAAAAAUCCUUACCGUGAGGCGCCCUUA